UGGUCUGGCCUGACAUCGGCGGCAGCAUGACAGCGCUGGCGGCCCUGCUCGUCUGCGGUCUCGGCCUGGUCGGCACCAGCUCAGGUCAGAGCCGGAUCCUGACAGGCGCCAGACGACGACCCGCUAAAAUGCUACACAGCUGAUGGAGUUGUCGGCGACUGCCGGCCGUGGCGGUACUGCCGCGCGGUUCGGCAGGAAUAUCCAAAGAAGAAACCAACCAUUUGUUUAUACAGACCGAAAAACCCGAUCGUCUGCUGCCCCAGAAAGUCCUCCGGUCAGUUCAUCACUGCCUCGCGCCCCACUCGCCGGCCGCGGCCGACGGCCAACCCGUGGCGCCCGAUCCGGCGGCCCCUGCCACAGCAGCAGCCCAUCCGGCGACC